AGUAUAGGAGGAAUUUGACGUGCCACUGCUAUUCCGAAUUCAGUAAUUAAAUAUUUUCCGGACCGAAUUGAACGGUGAUGCGACUUCGAAUUUAUUAUUUUGACGCAAUAUCAAAGCGACACGGCCGCUUUUCAAUAGUCGAGAAGCGCUAGAUUCGCGCUGAUCUAAAGUUGCAUGCAAAUCGGAAAGCGUAUCCGUCAACAAUGCGAAGAAAAAACGUUUCCUUCGUCACGUCCGUGUGAUGACUUCAAAGUGCUGUCAGAAGUACAGGACGAGCGGCAAACAUGCGAGAUCCCGGCGUACACUGGUCUAUCGACACGAAUAUGCUAAUGAUCUCGUGGCGGGCGGCGCGCGACGAAAUCGUAAAACGGUACGUUACCGCGCGGCGUAACAAGGCGUGAAGAGUGAAUUAGAUGGUGACGUCACGGAUUUACCGAAAACGCGUUUCGUCGACGUCGUGAAGCGAUCGGCAGUAGCAGCUACUAACAACGACGCGCGGAAAGAGAAGCGCAAAGCGAGACGGAAAGGAAGAGAGAAGAAGGCAACAGAUCUCCCUGCAGGCUCGUAAACUGGCGCAAUGGCCCUGAGAAGAGGGGUUUCGUCGAGACCAAAAAGCGGACGGAGGUCGUCAAUGUUGAUGAUGCGUGGAUCACGAUGUACUGACGGCUCCAUCAUAGCCCCCGUCUCUUGCGCGUACCUUCUCCCCGUUCCUCUUCUCUUUCUUCUGCUCUUUUCUAUUCUAUAGAAAAAUAUAGAGCGACCUACUCCAUUUGCUUUAUUGAAAUAACGCGAAGGGCCCAACCGCUUUCAUUGCGAUCGGCACGUUUCACCGCGAUGAUCGAAUUUUAUUACGACGAUUUUCGAAGAUUUACUUUUGACCGUCCGACACACAAGAGGGUGUCCUCGAGGAUUUUCUAAAGAUUAUAUAAACUGUUUACGCUUUAUAAUUUAUUACUGAGACGUGACAAAUAAUAUUUACUUUAUAAGAAAGAGAAAAAAGUCUUUUUUUUUACUGAUAUGUGAAAGUAAAUAUCUUUAGAUAACAAGAGAGAGUGUGCUCUGCGCUAAUCAGUUUUCAAUUUUUCAUUAUAUUUUAAUCGUAUCACCGGUGGUGUUUACAAUUACUCGUGAAAUCAUACAGUGUUAUAAACAUAUAUAUAUAUAUAUAUUUACGGAAAAGUCAGGCACACGUAGAGAUCAGAUAGCACUCAUGCUGACUACGAAAUAGAUCGCGCAGCUAUUACCAUAUGUUGUUUUCUGCUUAGCAUAUUCUUGGCGGGACGACAACGAGGACGGGUUUUGCUGCAUUCCGAUUAAGUCCGUAAUUAUAACGAACCUUGAGUUCAACGGUUAUUGUGCACUUUGCUAUUGCGGAAAUACAGCUGCUUCUGGCGUGCGCUGUACGUCGUAUUUCUAGAGACGAUGCCGGAAACGUCGUCUAUUUCUGUUUAAAUUAUUACGGUUACAGUUGAGAACCGGUCUUGUGUGUAUUAACAAAUAUAUUUUUCGCGAGUAUGAAAAUUCUGUGCGCUGUAUCGGAAACAACAUCACACGAAAAUGGCGAAAUCCGAUAUAUCGUUUUAUUCAACUGCGCAAAAAUACAUUCUCGGACAAAAAUAACGUUACGUUUGUUUCGGGAAAGGAAAACGUUACACAAUUUAAGGAGUAACGAAUCUAAUACUCAGAUACCGCCGCUUUUGCGUGAUGUCAUUUCUGAGAAUAUAAAUAUAUUUUUUUGAUAAUAUGUUUCUUGAAAACCGCAACGUGGCGAG